rnacentral:lncRNA from 1 species
CGUUGAAUUGUUAUCCAUAAUAAAUUACCCGUUUGAACAAUGCGUUAACGAAUAAUACAUAUAAAAUCAGUCUUUUAUCCUUGGUUGUUAUGAGACGCGUUAAUUGUUGCUAGGGUGCUCUCUUCGAGGUCCGCGCUCUUGGUAUAUAAAGACACCGAUUCAUUGCAAGUCGCUCAUUUUUUUAAUUGGCCGUCGACGGAUGAACAUCGGAAAGUGAAUACCAGCCAAUAAAGUAGUUUAAAAGGAAAGUUUGUAAACCUAGUUUGAGUUGAAAGCUUGUGGUUUUGAAGCAAGCGGUUUUUGAAGUCUUUACGAUUGUUGCAAGCUACCGGGUUGUUCCGAUACUGUAAUUUCCCUCGGGAAUGGUCGCAGUCCCUCGAACAGGUGGUUUGUAAAAGUCUGGUGACUUUGGUGCUUCGGAGACUAAGUAUUACUAUUAUUGCAAGCUACCGCGUUGUUCCGAAACUGUAAUUUCUCUCGGGAAUGGUCGCAGUCCCUCGAACAGAUAGCUUGUAAUAAUCUGGUGACUUAGGUGCUCCGGGGACUAGGUGCUUCAAAACUAGUUGUCUCAGGAACUAGGUGCUUCAGAGACUAGUUGUCUCAGAGACUGGGUGUCUCAGAACUAGGUGUUUCAGGAACCUAGGAUUUUUUAAGCUUAUUCUUAAGUUUAAUAUAAUUGUUUGUCAAAUCAGUUGGGACCUCGGAGUCAGUGAAAGGAUCAAGGAUAAAUUGAGGUUCUAGUUUUCAGACUACUUUUUGAUACAAAGUUAUUUGUGUAAAUAGUGUUAUUUCUUUAUUAAGUUUCAAAGUUGGUCUUGUAGUUUUAAGUAAAGCCUCCAAGUUGUAGUUGGGUUUUUGAGUUAAUUAAAAGAUUGAUAUUGGAGUGUCUCAGAUUCUGUGAAAACGGAUACGAACAUAUAGUUCAUAAGCCAAACACGUUACAAAAUUGGUUAGCAGCGGUGGGAUCUGAGAAACUUCAGUAUUAUAUGUAAAUAAUCACAUUGUUUUAUUGUCAUUAUUUCCUAUUUGUCCUUAAUUGCAAGAAGCAACACACUGUUUUGUAAA